UGGGUUCGAUACUCUAAAUCCUGUUUUUUACUCUAAUAUAAUUCCUGCUGAACUGCGUUUAUUUUUAGAAACUCAAAACACUUUUGGAAAGAAAUUAUUCUGCUUGUUCAUAAAUCGUUUUCAUGGGAUCAUGAAUGAUAGUGAUGGUUCAUUGUAAAGAUUUGCUUUUUAUACGAAUCUUAAUGCAAAGCAGUUUACAACAUUAUUAGAAAAUUAGCAUACAUUAGCUGUAGCUUCCACAUCAAUCGCUGAACUGUAACUUGCUUGUUUAUGUACCCCACAUACAAGCAUGAGUGUAGCAUUAAUGACUUUAAUCCCUUAAUUAUGCGUUAUUUAGUAUUGUACUUGCUCUUGUCUUUGUUUUUGAUAUCCUGAUUUUCAUGUGGCUGCAGAGUUAUAUUUGGGAUGCUAAUUGCUCUACCCAUCACACUGGUUUACUACAUUUUGCUGGGACUUUGAAGGGUGAGGGCAUCACAGUAGCUGAUGAGCAUGGCAUCACAGGAGCUGAUGAGCUACAAUUAGUUAUUACAGUAGUAGUACCUAACACAUCUGGCCACUGGGAAUUUUCGGGCAUCCUCUAACAGAACAUGAAUCGAAGUUAGAAAGAAACUAGCGAGGAGAAGGCUUUAGGAAGAGUUCUUAGGAAAUGGAAC
rnacentral:lncRNA from 1 species